UACAGAGGGCGCGGGCGUUGUCCGGAAUCACUGGGCGUAAAGGGCGCGUAGGUGGCCACCAUAAUGCCGCGGUGAAAGUUCGGGGCUCAACCCCGGAUCGGCCGCGGCGACUGUGGGGCUCGGGUACUGUAGAGGCAGAUGGAAUUCCGGGUGUAGCGGUGGAAUGCGUAGAGAUCCGGAGGAACACCAGCGGCGAAGGCGGCAUCCUGGACUGGUCCUGACACUCAGGAGCGAAAGCGUGGGGAGCGAUCCGG
rnacentral:rRNA from 1 species